GACGAACGCUGGCGGCGUGCCUAAUACAUGCAAGUAGAACGAGUUGCGAACGGGUGAGUAACGCGUAGGAACCUGCCUCAUAGCGGGGGAUAACUAUUGGAAACGAUAGCUAAUACCGCAUACUGUGAGAUGGACCUGCGUUGUAUUAGCUAGUUGGUGAGGUAAAGGCCUACCAAGGCGACGAUCCGUAACUGGUCUGAGAGGAUGAUCAGUAACAUUGGAACGUAGACAAGGUCCAGACUCCUACGGGAGGCAGAAGUGGGGAAUAUUGGACAAUGGGCGAAAGCCGGAUCCAGCCAUGCCGCGUGUGUGAAGAAGGUCUCCGGAUUGUAAAGCACUUUAAGUGGGUAGGCGUUACCAAAAGAAUAAGCACCGGCUAACUUCGUGCCAGCAGCCGCGGUAAUAC
rnacentral:rRNA from 1 species